GCCCCAGAGGGCGAAGCUUCCUGUUGUCAGUUCUGCCUGUUGCUAUAGAUACCGAACUCCACAAUCAGUAAUUAGAGCGUGCCCCCUGCCCCAGAACUGGUCAAACGGUGCGCAGCGCUCGGCAAAUGGUCUUAAAAGCAUCCGCACUGGCAUGGAAAUGCAUCUCCAAUGGUGACGGGGUUUGUUUUAUUCAUGGACUUUUGGAAAAAAAAUCAUGGAUUUAUUGGAAACCAUGAGAAAUAUAAGUAAUUAUUGUGCUUUUAAAGACAUCACGAGUUUUUUUCAUCAUGCGAUGUUAGGGGUGAGCAAGAUGAGGGCAGGAAGGAGGUGCUCACAAAGAUGUCUGGGGUCAUCUUUUCUUUGGGGAAGAGCCAGAAAUUGCAUGGUGCUAGAUCCACUGAAAGGUGAUGAGGACGCACCAUAACGCUUUUCCUGGCUUGCCUUUCUCUUGGAUGGCAUUUGGCAGCAGCAUUUACUAUAUUUUUUUGUCAUACCCGUGAAGACACUCGUGAAGGAGGACUUCCAAAAGUGCUUCAGAAACCAGCAAGAAUGAUGGGAAAGUGUACAUAAGGCAAGGAGGAGUGUUGUUUAGGGGGAUUAAUGGCAAGGUGACUUUUACUGUAGUAAUGAUCUUAAAAUAUUUUUCAAUAUGCAUCAUAUUUUUGAUCAGGAAGGCUGAGCUGGGGAGUCUCUGAUGAACCCUGGUCAUCAUAUAAGGAACUUGGAUUCCGUCUUGUAGGAUAUGUAAAACUGUAGGGAACUUUGGA
rnacentral:lncRNA from 1 species